GCUCAGUAACACGUGGAUAACCUGCCCUUGGGACCGGCAUAACCCCGGGAAACUGGGGAUAAUACCCUAUAGAUUACAGAUGCUGGAAUGCCCUGUAAUCCAAAGUUCCGACGCCCUAGGAUGGAUCUGCGGCCGAUUAGGUUGUUGUUGGGGUAAUGGCCCAACAAGCCCGUAAUCGGUACGGGUUGUGGGAGCAAGAGCCCGGAGUUGGAUUCUGAGACACGAAUCCAGGCCCUACGGGGCGCAGCAGGCGCGAAAACUUUACAAUGCGGGCAACCGUGAUAAGGGAACCUCGAGUGCCUGUAAAUGCAGGCUGUUCAGGUGCCUAAAACACACCUGAAGAAAGGGCCGGGCAAGACCGGUGCCAGCCGCCGCGGUAAUACCGGCGGCUCGAGUGGUGGCCGCUUUUAUUGGGCUUAAAGCGUUCGUAGCUGGGUUGUUAAGUCUCUUGGGAAAUCUGGCGGCUUAACCGUCAGGCGUCUAAGGGAUACUGGCAAUCUUGGAACCGGGAGAGGUGAGGGGUACUUCGGGGGUAGGAGUGAAAUCCUGUAAUCCUCGAGGGACCACCUGUGGCGAAGGCGCCUCACCAGAACGGCUUCGACAGUGAGGGACGAAAGCUGGGGGAGCAAACCGGAUUAGAUACCCGGGUAGUCCCAGCCGUAAACUAUGCGCGUUAGGUGUAUCGGUGACCACGAGUUACCGAGGUGCCGAA
rnacentral:rRNA from 1 species